CAACAAUUUCUUCAGACGAGUCCUCUUUCCUCACUGACCACAAGUCAUCCACCCCCAAGGUCUGCUGACAGCCUUUCCAGACCAGCCUGGGGAAGGAACACACAGACGGCUGUAAGAGAACCACCAGUAUGUGAUUUUGGAAAGAAAAGAGCUGCUGGAUUCUGGACACUGAUUCUGAUGGGAGAAAAAACAUGGAUGAUAUUUUUACAUAGAUAAGGGCAUGUGUCAGAUAAACAUAAUCCCCUUCUGCACUUCCCCAAGAAAAGCAAUCAAAAAGUUACACCCAUCCCAUUCAUUGACCCUGACAGUGUUGUGGAGGAUCAGUGGGAUCAGGAGACUUUGGAGAAUUAGACUUUAAAUAAUGUAUUUGAUGGAGGAACAAGGACUAUCAUUCUUCAUACCCAAAGACAUUUGUUUUCUGAAGCACAGACCUCUGCCAUACCCACACCUCAAACAGAGUACUUCUGCACAGCAGAGCAUGGGGAAGCAACAGGAGCCCUAUCUACUGGUUUCAAUGAAAAUACACCAAUGUGGAUAGAAAAAGCUUUUAGUUUUUCAAAACAUACAUAGAGAGACAGAAUAUUGUUAUCCCAAAUUCUGCCGGUUACCUUUUCAAACUCUCAGCCUUUAUACAGAACAAUGCAUCUUUCAUCUCCCAGCUACUAAUGUUCCUGUGCAUCCCCAUAAAUUAAAAUUCCUGUUUGAGCAAUGAAGCAAUGCAUUAUGAAAAGCUACGCUGUACUUACAGGAUUGUUGACACCUUUAGAGAAGAAGGGAGGGUGAUCAACGAAGCAGAAUAACACAAGUUCUCCUAGCACCAGACUAGCAUAAAGGGCAUGUUGGACUUUGGAACUAAACAUCACAACUGCAGCCAUGAAUGAGAGCAGCCAGUAAAUCAACAUGACGCCUGAAGACUGGAUGCCCAUCAUUCUUUCCACUUG